CAGGAUGAACGCUGGCGGCGUGCCUAAUACAUGCAAGUCGAGCGAACAGACGAGGAGCUUGCUCCUCUGACGUUAGCGGCGGACGGGUGAGUAACACGUGGAUAACCUACCUAUAAGACUGGGAUAACUUCGGGAAACCGGAGCUAAUACCGGAUAAUAUAUUGAACCGCAUGGUUCAAUAGUGAAAGACGGUUUUGCUGUCACUUAUAGAUGGAUCCGCGCCGCAUUAGCUAGUUGGUAAGGUAACGGCUUACCAAGGCAACGAUGCGUAGCCGACCUGAGAGGGUGAUCGGCCACACUGGAACUGAGACACGGUCCAGACUCCUACGGGAGGCAGCAGUAGGGAAUCUUCCGCAAUGGGCGAAAGCCUGACGGAGCAACGCCGCGUGAGUGAUGAAGGUCUUCGGAUCGUAAAACUCUGUUAUUAGGGAAGAACAAAUGUGUAAGUAACUAUGCACGUCUUGACGGUACCUAAUCAGAAAGCCACGGCUAACUACGUGCCAGCAGCCGCGGUAAUACGUAGGUGGCAAGCGUUAUCCGGAAUUAUUGGGCGUAAAGCGCGCGUAGGCGGUUUUUUAAGUCUGAUGUGAAAGCCCACGGCUCAACCGUGGAGGGUCAUUGGAAACUGGAAAACUUGAGUGCAGAAGAGGAAAGUGGAAUUCCAUGUGUAGCGGUGAAAUGCGCAGAGAUAUGGAGGAACACCAGUGGCGAAGGCGACUUUCUGGUCUGUAACUGACGCUGAUGUGCGAAAGCGUGGGGAUCAAACAGGAUUAGAUACCCUGGUAGUCCACGCCGUAAACGAUGAGUGCUAAGUGUUAGGGGGUUUCCGCCCCUUAGUGCUGCAGCUAACGCAUUAAGCACUCCGCCUGGGGAGUACGACCGCAAGGUUGAAACUCAAAGGAAUUGACGGGGACC
rnacentral:rRNA from 1 species